AGAAUCAACGCUGGCGGCGUGCCUAACACAUGCAAGUCGCACGAGAAAAGGUAGCAAUACCUGAGUAAAGUGGCGCACGGGUGAGUAACACGUGACUAAUCUACCCUCGAGUGGGGAAUAACCUAGAGAAAUCUGGGCUAAUACCGCAUAACACUUACGAGUCAAAGCAGCAAUGCGCUUGGGGAGGAGGUCGCGGCCGAUUAGCUAGUUGGCGGGGUAAUGGCCCACCAAGGCGAUGAUCGGUAUCCGGCCUGAGAGGGCGCACGGACACACUGGAACUGAAACACGGUCCAGACUCCUACGGGAGGCAGCAGUGGGGAAUUUUGCGCAAUGGGGGAAACCCUGACGCAGCAACGCCGCGUGGAGGAUGAAAUAUCUUGGUAUGUAAACUCCUUUCGAUGGGGAGAUUAUGACGGUACCAUAGAAGAAGCCCCGGCUAACUUCGUGCCAGCAGCCGC
rnacentral:rRNA from 1 species